UACGGAGGGUGCGAGCGUUAUCCGGAAUUACUGGGUUUAAAGGGUGCGUAGGCGGCCCUGUAAGUCAGGAGUGAAAGUUUGCGGCUCAACCGUAAAAUUGCUUUUGAUACUGCGGGGCUAGAAUUAGGAUGAGGUCAGCGGAAUGUGGCAUGUAGCGGUGAGAUGCAUAGAUAUGCCAUAGAACACCAAUUGCGAAGGCAGCUGGCUAGACCUGGAUUGACGCUGAGGCACGAAAGCGUGGGGAGCGAACAGG
rnacentral:rRNA from 1 species